rnacentral:rRNA from 1 species
AGUGAACGCUGGCGGUAGGCCUAACACAUGCAAGUCGAACGGCAGCACAGUAAGAGCUUGCUCUUACGGGUGGCGAGUGGCGGACGGGUGAGGAAUACAUCGGAAUCUACUUUUUCGUGGGGGAUAACGUAGGGACACUUACGCUAAUACCGCAUACGACCUACGGGUGAAAGCAGGGGAUCUUCGGACCUUGCGCGAUUGAAUGAGCCGAUGUCGGAUUAGCUAGUUGGUAAGGUAAAGGCUCACCAAGGCGACGAUCCGUAGCUGAUCUGAGAGGAUGAGAGGCCAAACUGGAACUGAGACACUGUCCAGAGUACUACGGGAGGCAGCAGGAGGGAAGCUUCCGCAAUGGGCGAAAGCCUGACGGAGCAACGGCGCGUAAGGUAUGAAGGUCUUCGGAUCGUAAAACUCUGUUAUGAGGGAAGAACAAAUGUGUAAGUAACUAUGCACGUCUUGACGGUACCUAAUCAGAAAGCCACGGCUAACUACGUG